rnacentral:tRNA from 1 species
GGGACUGUGGCUUAGUGAUAGAGUGCUUGCCUAGCAUGCAUGAAGCCCUGGGUUCAAUUCCUCAGUACUA